AUGGUUGCCCCGCAAGGUCGGUAUACAGGUGGUGCAUGGUUGUCGUCAGCUCGUGUCGUGAGAUGUUGGGUUAAGUCCCGCAACGAGCGCAACCCUCGUUCUAUGUUGCCAGCACGUCAUGGUGGGAACUCAUAGGAGACUGCCGGGGUCAACUCGGAGGAAGGUGGGGAUGACGUCAAAUCAUCAUGCCCCUUAUGUCUUGGGCUUCACGCAUGCUACAAUGGCCGGUACAAAGGGCUGCGAUACCGUAAGGUGGAGCGAAUCCCAAAAAGCCGGUCUCAGUUCGGAUUGAGGUCUGCAACUCGACCUCAUGAAGUCGGAGUCGCUAGUAAUCGCAGAUCAGCAACGCUGCGGUGAAUACGUUCCCGGGCCUUGUACACACCGCCCGUCAAGUCAUGAAAGUCGGUAACACCCGAAGCCAGUGGCCUAACCGCAAGGAGGGAGCUGUCGAAGGUGGGAUCGGUGAUUAGGACUAAGUCGUAACAAGGUAGCCGUACCGGAAGGUGCGGCUGGAUCACCUCCUUUCUAAGGA
rnacentral:rRNA from 1 species